UACGAGGGGGGCAAGCGUUGUUCGGAAUUAUUGGGCGUAAAGGGUGCGUAGGCGGUUUGGUAAGUCUUAUGUGAAAUCUACAGGCUCAACUUGUAGUCUGCAUGAGAAACUGCCGGGCUUGAGUAUGGGAGAGGUGAGUGGAAUUCCUGGUGUAGCGGUGAAAUGCGUAGAUAUCAGGAGGAACACCGAUGGCGAAGGCAGGUCUCUGGGCCACUACUGACGCUGAGAAGCGAAAGCAUGGGGAGCGAACAGG
rnacentral:rRNA from 1 species